AAAGGAAGCAUAAAUAAUCAAUGAUUAUGAGGCUUAAUCAUUCUGUGUAACGAAUUGCUUAGAUGAGAGGUGAAAUAUUAACAAGUGUAAGAGUCUAUUCCAUGAAAGCUACGUUCGUCCAGAGCAUAUGCAGAGAUCUUUAAAAGUAAAAGGGGACUUUAAUCAACUGGUUAGUCUUUUUGUAAAAGCAAAAUAAUUGUAUGAAUUUUUCACAUUGCAAGAGAUUUUCUCAUGUUU